rnacentral:lncRNA from 1 species
CUCCAUGAUAAACAGAGGCAUAGUACUCUGUUUAAAUAGAUUACAAAAAUAACUAAAUAGCUAGAAGUACGACACAAUAUAUUGUUAGACUACCAUAUGUAACAGAACGUAUAACUCGUAGAACUCUAAAUUACUGAAAAUCAGCAGAAUCAAUUACCAACCUUAUCUCUCCAGGCUCAAGUCCUGUAGUCAGCCUUAUUACUCCAAGGGGUGAACACAUCCUUAUCACUCCCUUGGUCAAUAUCCCCCCUCAAACUAUGCCGAGGUUGGAGACAUAGUUUGUGUCGAAAGAACGCAAGACGAGCCUUAGGAACUGAUUUAGUGAAUACAUCAGCUAGCUGACAAGUGGAAGGAAUAUGUUGAGUAAUAAGAGCCCCUUGAGCUACCCGCUCUCUUACAUAGUGGUAAUCCAACGCAAUAUGUUUACUUCGAGCGUGAAAUACUGGAUUGACUGUGAGGAAUAGAGCACUGACAUUGUCUGCAAAAAGUUUCGGUGGGUGUGGAGGAAAAAUCCGAAGAUCAGAUAGAAUAUAUCCAAGCCAUGUAAGCUCAGCUGCUGUAUGAGCCAUGGCACGGUACUCAGCCUCUGUACUGGACCGAGCAACUGUGGACUGCUUCUUCACACACCAGGAAAUGAUAUUCGAGCCUAGGAACGUGCAAUAGCCUAUAGUUGACCGUCGCGUCGUCGGACAGCCUGCCCAAUCUGCAUCAGAAAAGGCAGAAAGAGCAAGUGUAGUAUUGGAACGAAGAUUGAGACCAUAAUGUAUCGUGCCCUUUAAAUAAUGCAAGAUGCGACGAACAUAUUUCAGAUGAGCAUGAGUAGGUGAAUGCAUGAAUUGGGACAUAAAAUUUACACUAAAAGACAAGUCAGGUCUGGUUAAAGUGAGGUAUUGCAAGGACCCGACAAUGCCUCGAAAAGAUGUUGGAUCGGAAAGUGGUUCAGAAUCAAUUGGCAGAUUGUGUUUAAGGUCUAAUGGAGUGGGCAUUGGCUGACAAUCAACCAUCUGGGCACGCUCCAAAAUGGAGUAGGCAUAAUGCGUCUGUGAUAAAUGAAGGCCAGUGGCUGUGGUAUCCACUUUAACACCCAAGAAAUGAUGGAUUGGUCCCAAGUCUUUCAUGGAGAAUUCUGCGUGUAACACCUGAAUAAAAUCAUCAACAAGAGCUACAGACGAACCCGUGAGUAGCAUAUCGUCAACAUAAACCAAAAGCACUAAUAUCUCAUUAGAACAAUAAAAAACAAAUAAUGAAGGAUCCGCCAAGCUGCAAAAGAAACCAUAAGCAAUGAGAAACUUACUUAACCGGUCAAACCAGGCACGAGGAGCCUGCUUGAGUCCAUAGAGAGCUCGUUUUAACUUACACACAUGCGUUGGCUUGUUCGGAUUUUUCAUCCCUGGUGGUUGCUCCAUGAACAAAUCCUCAGUAACAUAACCAUGCAAAAAAGCAUUUGUAACAUCUAACUGCCUUAUUGGCCAUUUUUUAACUAAAGCAACAGUUAAAACAGUACGAAUCGUGCCAGGUUUGAUAACGGGUGAAUAAGUUUCAGUGUAGUCGACGCCAUCUAGUUGAUGGAAUCCUUUGGCUACUAACCGAGCCUUUAGUCGGUCUAACGUGCCAUCUGGUUUAAUUUUGGCUUUAAACACCCAUUUACAACCUAUUAUAUGCAAUCCGUCCCUGUAAGGAACAAGGUCCCAAGUAUUAUUCUUGUGUAAAGCAUCUAUUUCAGUAACCAUGGCUUGACGCCAACCACCAUGUGCAAGUGCUGCCUUAACAGUCUUAGGCUCUCUAGGAAUAGAGUUCAACAAGGUAACAGACAACGCAUAGCGCGGAUUUGGUUUGACAAUUCCUAAUUGUGACCGUGUGACCAUAGUGUGUCUAGGAGCUGAGUUAACAAUAGUCAUACCUGCUGGGACUGCAACUGCAGUACCGUCGGAGGGAGCAGCAGCAGAACAUUGUAUAUCGACAGAAGCUGGUGCAGGAGAUUGGUGGCUGCCUAGUGCUACAUUUGAAACUUCGUCAAUAUGCUCAGUCUCCGUAGCACUUGAAUGGAAGUCUGGACUGGCAGGUACAGUAGGAGCAACGAUAGCUAAAGGAACAGCCUCUGCUGCCGUAACCGGGUCUGAGACAUCUGAGUCUAGUAGCAAUUGCGGUUCUGCUGCAGAUAAACCAGCAGUCGCUGCUGCCGUAACCGGUUCUGAGGCAACUGAUUCUAGCAGCAAACGUGGUUCUGCAGUCGGUAAACCUGCAAUAUUUGGAGAUUCCUGCACAAAACUAGGAGAAACAUCUGAAGGAGCAUCAUUAUUAGGGGCAGAAAGAGUAUUAAAAGCACUAUCAACAUGUAACUCAUGAGUAGCGUCAGUCGUAUCACUAGAAGAAGGGAAAGGAGUAAUCUCAUUCAAAACAUUUUGUGGAGGAAGAUCAGAAGUGCCAGGUGAUUCUGCAAGACCCUGCACACAUGAAACUGUUAAAAUAGGACUAGACUCGUUGUCUGAAGUUGCCUCGUCUACACUAGAAGUGGAACUUGAAUUAACCCAAGGAUUCAUAACCUGUGACACAUAUAACGAAUCCGUAACAGAAGACUUAUAAGGAAAUAUUUGUUCAUCAAAACUUACAUGCUUGGAAAUAAUAAAUUUCCUUGUUGUCAGAUUAUAGCACUUAUACCCCUUGUGUCUAUCACUAUAGCCAACAUGAUUCUGCAAGACCCUGCACACAUGAAACUGUUAAAAUAGGACUAGACUCGUUGUCUGAAGUUGCCUCGUCUACACUAGAAGUGGAACUUGAAUUAACCCAAGGAUUCAUAACCUGUGACACAUAUAACGAAUCCGUAACAGAAGACUUAUAAGGAAAUAUUUGUUCAUCAAAACUUACAUGCUUGGAAAUAAUAAAUUUCCUUGUUGUCAGAUUAUAGCACUUAUACCCCUUGUGUCUAUCACUAUAGCCAACAAACACGCAAAGACAAGACUUUGGAUCAAAUUUGUGACGUUUAGUAUCCCAAAUAUAAGGAAAACAUUUAGACCCAAAUACACGCAAGGAACUAUAGUCAAAAUCAUACCCAUUCAACAUGUAAAACGGUGUGUUAUGUUGUAAAGAAUCAGAAGGUAAGCGAUUAAGUAAAAACAUAGCAAUUUGAAACGCUUCAACCCAUAAAAAUAAAGGUAAAUGACCAUGAAAUAUUAUAGUCAUACCUAACUCGCGUAUGACUCGAUGACGCCGUUCUACCAUGCCUGUUUGUUCAGGCGUAUAUGGACACGAAAUUUGAUGUUUUAUACCAUUAGCAAGAAAAUGAGAUGACAAAGCAGAAUUAACAAAUUCACCCCCUCCAUCUGAAUGAAAAACUUUAAUAUUUUUGUCAAAUUGUCUAAACACAAACUUCUCAAAAGCAAGAAAGGUAGCAAAGAAAUCAGACUUUUGUUUUAAUGGAAUGAUCCAACAAUAUUUGGUAAAAUCGUCAACAAAGCAUGCAUAAUAUCUAAAUUUUUCAAUCGACAAAACAGGGGCAGGACCCCACAGAUCACAAUGAAUUUUAUCAAAAGCACAUGAACUAGAAUGAACAGAACUGCUAAAAGGAAAUCUACUUAAUUUUCCUAACUGGCAACUAUCACAUAGAUUUUUUAUUUGAACAGAACCUCUAACAUCUAUUAACCUCUUAUUACUUAAAGUAGAAACUGCGGACGCUUGAGGAUGUCCUAAACGCUGGUGCCAAAUAACUGCUGUGCCCGCUUUAAAACGGUUGGAAAAAUAAGCUUUGGGAGCUGCAGACAAGGUAUAAAGAUUAUGCUUCUUUGGUCCUGUUAGUAGGAUUUGUCCCGUUUUUCGGUCCUUCACACAAACAGACUUAUUAGAAAACUCACAAUUAACAGGAAAAUCAUCAGUUAUUUGGCUAAUGGAAAGCAAAUUCUGUUUUAAAUCAGGUACAACUAAAACAUCAGAAACAGGCAAACAACGCUUUUGCUUAAUGCUAGUACUACCUAUACCAUUUAUAGACAAGGAAGACCCAUCACCAAUAGCAAUAGAAUCCAUACCAGAAUACUCUUUAAAAUUGUCUAAAAUAAAUUUGUUACCUGUCAUGUAAUGAGACGCACUUGAGUCGGCAAUCCAGUCAGCAUCUACUACUCCGUUGUCCAGAGUAAGUGCAGCAAGAGCUUGAGGUAGAUUUUCUUGAGGUGAUUUAGGAAUCCACCAGCAAAUUUUGGCGAUAUGCCUAGGUUUGCCACAGUAUUGGCAGACUUCAUCUUUGUAAAGUUCACGUUCUUCUGCAGUCAUACGUCGGUGCCCAGAGGGAGGUGUACGACGUUGAGUAGUUGAGUUUCCUCUUCCCUGACUCUGACCACGAGGUUGUUGAGCUUGGAAGCCUCGUCCUUGAGAAGUAAAAUUUGAGCGCCGACUGGAAUUGGAAUUUGGUUGUCUUUGUUGAUUUCCAUAGAAUGCAACGUGGGAUGAAAUUUGACCCAUAGAGGCAUCAGACUAACUCAUAAACCAAGUUCUUCGUUGCUCUAAACUAUUCAACUGAGAGAUCAGUUCUGUAAAAGUCGGUCUUAGAGGCUUAAGCAUGGUAGUAGUAAAAUCUUCGAACUGAGGCCCCAGACUUGUAAGAAGGCAGAAUACCUUUUCGUUGUCUGGAACUGUUUUUCCAAUCGCGGUAAGGUUAUCGCAGAUUUCUUUGAAAAGCCGCAGAUGUUCUGUUAUCGUUUUACUUUCAUCUUUGCGAAAGUAGGAUAGUUGUUGUCGUAGAUUAAACUCUCUCUCCUGGGAGUCUUGAGCAUAAGCAUCUUUCAGAGCUUCCCAAACAGUCUUUAUUAUUUCCAGACCGAUAACGAGCCCUAGAGAUUCUUCGCUUAGGGUUCCAUAAAUCCACCCACGAAGUAACUGAUCUGAUUUCUGCCACGCUUUGAAAUUAUCAGAAAGCUGAGGCUGAUAAUUUUCGGGAAUUGGUGAGGGAGCAGCCACAAAUUUUUGGUCUUCUGAAAAUUCUGCCGUCAGAUGAUCAGACAGAUCUUGGCUCUCAGCUAGGCUUAGCAACUGAGCCCUCCAUAAGAGGUAAUUCGUUUGUUUUAGCUUUAAGGUAACAAAAUUUGUAACAUUUAAGGAAGAGGAAGCCAUUUCGUGAGAAGAGAAAAAAACUUUUGGAGAAGAAGAAGGCGGAUACAAACCCGCUCUGAUACCAACAAGAGAAUAGGAAAAAUGGCGAAAAAGAUUUUAUAAAAAUGAAUUAAUUCAUGUAUUCCUCCAUGAUAAACAGAGGCAUAGUACUCUGUUUAAAUAGAUUACAAAAAUAACUAAAUAGCUAGAAGUACGGCACAAUAUAUUGUUAGACUACCAUAUCUAACAGAACGUAUAACUCGUAGAACUCUAAAUUACUGAAAAUCAGCAGAAUCAAUUACCAACCUUAUCUCUCCAGGCUCAAGUCCUGUAGUCAGCCUUAUUACUCCAAGGGGUGAACACAUCCUUAUCACUCCCUUGGUCAAUAG